GACGGGGGGGGCAAGUGUUCUUCGGAAUGACUGGGCGUAAAGGGCACGUAGGCGGUGAAUCGGGUUGAAAGUGAAAGUCGCCAAAAACUGGCGGAAUGCUCUCGAAACCAAUUCACUUGGGUGAGACAGAGGAGAGUGGAAUUCCGAGUGUAGAGGUGAAAUUCGUAGAUAUUCGGAAGAACACCAGUGGCGAAGGCGACUCGCUGGACAGACAUUGACGCUGAGGUGCGAAAGCGUGGGGAGCAAACAGG
rnacentral:rRNA from 1 species